GAAAAAGACUGAUUUACGCCAUUCUUUGCUCCAAACCCUCCCUUGCCAACCAUUCUUCUGCUACAAACCCUCCCUUGCUAAUUGUCAAUGUCGGCUAGGCGUUGGUUAUCUAUAGUUAGGUCAAUCAACGUUAUAGCUGGAGCAGCCAUACUUACGGGCGCAUCGAAUUACACGUUGCAUCCUGGCGAGGCCGGGAUAAUAUUUAGAAAAUUUGGCGGAACGCCCAAGGAGGAGGGAUGCACUUCUCAAUCCAUUGGAUUGAUGAAAUUCGUAUUGUGGAUAUGACUUGUCGUCCACAGACGAUCACGCUCCAAUGCUUUUUACAGAAUUUACAGUCGGCGACCGUGACAGUAACAAUUCUCUAUCGACCUGAUCUCUCUCUCCUAGUAGAGAUGACAAGAAAACUAGGAUUCGAUUAUUACACAGAGGAAUAGAAGAUUAUCAUGCUUGGGAGCAAAAUCACUUGCUUGCUGAGAUCUCUGCUCGGACUGAGAUCUCUGCUCGGAAAGCCAAAAAGGCCGAGAUGAGCCCGGAAGAAGCUGAGACCUCUGCUCAGAAAGACAAAAAGGCCGAGACGAGGAAAACACUGUUGGCUUGUUUGCUUGAGUUUAUGAAGCCCAUGAAAAGUUAGGGUGUAAGAGUGUAUUUUUAAACGGUGAUUUUUUGUUUUUUUGGUCUAUAUGGUUUUUUGUUAUCAGUUUUUUUUGUAAUGUUCUUGUGUACUUCAUGAAAAGGUAAGGGUGUACUGGGUAUACUUCAGGAAGAAUUAGGGGUAUACUUCAUGAAGAAUUAGGG